CUCCGCUCCUCCUCUUCCUCCUCCUCCUCGCCGCCUCCUCCUCCUCACUCACUUGGCGGCGGAGUUCGCCUCAGUUCAGGCGGCGCUGCCAGCGGCGGCGGCGGCGGCGGCGGCGCGGGGGGAGGGGCGGCGGCGCGGGGAGGGCCGGGGGCGGGCGGCGGGCGGGGCCGCGCAGGGCGGCCGUUAGCGGGGCCCGGCCGGCGCGCUCCUCCUCCCGCCGCCCCCCGCGGCCCCCGGCCCAGGCGCCGCCGCCGCCGCGCCGUCUCCCUCAGGCGGCCUGAGGAGAACGGCGGCGGCUGGCGUGACGGAGGUGGCGCACGGCAAGCCCGGCCUGGGCGCCGGGCCGGAGGGUCGCCGCUUCGGGCGAGCGGAGAACGGAGGGAGGGGCCGCUUGACAGGGGAGGGCGGCGGCGGUGUUUUGGACUGGGGUGUGUGGGGGGUGAGAGGGUGCCGCCGGGCCGGCUCUUCUUGGCGGCGCGGUCGGACUCUGGCGUUAGGGGGAGUGGGGUUUCCAGCGGGACGGGCUACGGCGUGUCAGGGCCGCGCUCGCCGCCGCACGGCCCCGUCCCCUUCCCCCGUUACUAUAGGUUUUUUAAAAGCCACUCAGCCACCCUCCCCGCCCCCACCCCCCCCCCAAAACACAUUUUUUUUUUUUUUUUAACGUCCUGUUGCUUCACUGGGGGACUUUCGGGGUGGGCGUCACGUGGCCCGACACGUAGCCGUGAGGCCCGAGAGCGCGUGCGUGCGUGCGUCGAGGCCGGCGGCCACGCCCCUUCCGAGGGUCGCCCCGCCCCCAACAGGGCCCCGCGAGCCAAGUGGGAAGGGGCGGGGCCUGCCGCGCGCCUGCGUGGGGCGGGGCGGGGCCGGGGAGGGGGCGCGCCCCGGGAGGGGGAGGGGGAGGGCCGCGUGCCGGGGUGGCUUAGGGGUCCAGGUGUGGGGAACCCCCACCAUCGCUACCACCGCGCGGUGGCCCGGCCGUCGGGCCCGCGGGGGCGGCGACGUAGCGUAGUCUCCGCUCCCGGCCCCCGGGCCGUCCUGCGCCAGGACGGGUACACGGUGGGCGCGCACGGCGAUCCCCCCGGGCUCCUCGCGGUCGCCUCCGGCCUCGGGGGUCGCGCGGCGGGUUCCCCUCCACCGUGGGCGUCCGUGGCCCCCCAGACGGCGUAG
rnacentral:lncRNA from 1 species